rnacentral:lncRNA from 1 species
CACAUGCACAGACAUGCACAUCUGCAUGCACAUGUAUACACGCACACACACAUAGAAAUGCAGGUCUGCAUGCACAAGCUUGCAGACACAUUCACACAAGCAUGCACAGAAACGUGCAAGCUGAGCACCUGUAUGCACUGCCAGGCACACGCAUGCACACUGAGCACAUCCACACACUUAGCACAUACACGCACACAUAUGCACGCUGUCUGGCCAUGUUGCUCACAGCUGUACACUCUCCCCCCAGCUUGGUAACACACCCGGACCCCCCCGGGGCUGCAUGACUCCAUACAUCCCUCCCCAGCCCUCGAAGCAUGGCCCGCUCAGUGCUGAGUAUGGGGUGUGUGUGCACAUGCGUGUGCACGUGUGCGUGGGCUGGCCCAACCCCCGGAGCACUGUGCCCAUUGCGGGACCGUCGCCUCGCCGAGCAGACACCAUGGUCCCGCGGGCCUGCUGCCUGCUCAUGGGUCUGUGCGCCCUGCUCCCCCAUGCCACCCCCCAGCAGGACCCCCCCGGGGACCCCGAGCGCUGCGGCAUCACCUUCCACGCCCCCGACCCCUGUGGUCCAACCCACGUGCCAUCCCCUCUUGCAUCCCGUGAGGAGCUGGAGCACCUCCAGAGCCUCCUGCAGCAGAGCAGGGCCAGGCUUCAGGAUGUGGAGGCGGCGGCGGUGCUGGAGGAACCCCAACCCCGGUACCAGGACGUGAUCAGUGAGGCACUGCCUGCCAUCCGUGGGGCCAACCAGGAAUUUGGGGAGAGCCUGGACAACGUGCGCAGGGAACUGGAGGCUCACGUGGCCCAGAGUGAUCACCCACAGGUGGUGGAGAAGAGGGAGAAGCUGCGCAAGGACCUCCGCCUGGUGGCCCACGUGCUGCACCUCACCUCCCGCCUCGCCCAUGUCCUCGACGCUUCCUCCCAGCGCCUCCAGGACGAGCUGAGCCAGCGCCUGCAGCGCUCGGCUGCCCGUGCUGCUGCUGCCCAGCCCUAGGACACGGGCUGGGCUCUGCCGCCCCUCUCCAUACAGCCUCGCUUGCUGAGCUCCGAGCCCCUUUGCUUCUCCUUGAAUGUGCUAUGCCCACGCAACCGUUUGCAGCCAGCCAAAAUCAACCCAAAUCCGAGAAACAGAGAACAUCUCAAGCUGAAAGGGAUCUCCAAGGAUCACUGAGUGCAACUCCAAAAAUCCAAACUCGAUGUCUGUCCUCAUCCGUGCUGUUCCUUUCUACAAAUGACCGCCAUCUCCUUUGGGGCAUGGAUGGUGAUGGGGUUGGGGAUGGGGAUUGGAUGGGAUGGGAUGGAGAUGGGGAUGGGGAUGGGGAUGGGGAUGGGGAUGGGGAUGGGGAUGGGAUGAGAUGGAGAUUGGUUUGGAGGUGGGGAUUGGGAUGGAGGUGAGGAUGGGGAUGUGGAUGGGGAUGGGGGUGGGAUGGGGAUGGGAAUAGGGAUGGAGUCAGGAUGAAGAUAGGGAUGGGAAUGGGGAUGGGGAUGGAAAUGGUAAUGGGGAUUGAGAUGGGGAUGGUAAUAGGGCAGCUGCACACACACUGGCAGAGAAGUGCUGGGCUGGAGCUGUGGGAGAUGAGUACAAGCAGCCCAGCAGUAAAUUGAAGCUGGCAACCGGAGUGCACUGAACCUACAGAGGCUUGGGCAUUAGAAAAAUAGCUAGAGGCAGAAAACUCUGAUCUGUUCAAACACAAGGAGGACACGUCCUGGCCACAUCAUCACGUGGGGCCUGUGGACCCCCUAGGUGUGCACUGCAUGGCCUCGGGCCUGGGUAGCAGUAACACCCUGGGCAGCAGCAGUGAUAUGUCUCCAGGAGCUGCAGGCAACACAAUAAAGAUGCAUUGCACUCUGCCA